UACAGGGGGGGCAAGCGUUGUUCGGAAUUACUGGGCGUAAAGGGUUUGUAGGUGGCCACUUAAGUCAGACGUGAAAUCCCUCAGCUUAACUGGGGAACUGCGUCUGAUACUGCGUGGCUUGAGUGCAGGAGAGGAACGCGGAAUUCCAGGUGUAGCGGUGAAAUGCGUAGAUAUCAGGAGGAACAUCGAUGGCGAAGGCAGCCCCUUGGACCUGUACUGACGCUCAUGCACGAAAGCGUGGGGAGCAAACAGG
rnacentral:rRNA from 1 species